GUGCUCACUUUGGCAGCACAUAUACUGAAAUUUGGAUGAUACAGAGAUUAGUAUGACUCCUGCACAGGAUGACAUGCAGAUUCAUGAAGCGUUUCCGUUUUGG